GACCUGGGGUUUAAUAACUAGUAUAUGCUAAAACCCCCAAAUCCUAAUCCUAAUAAAUAUAAUGCUGCGGCCUGCAUCGGCUGCUUUGCUUGACGAAACAAUAUAGACCAGUUGCUCAAACCCAGUCGGAAUCGGUUGCUGUUGCUGUGAAGUCAUUGAAAAUUGACUCAUUCAGGUAAAUUGAAAAUUAUUAUGUGAAAGGAGCUGCUGAUGUGGAGGAAUGGUGAAUUUUAAGCAAAGGCACUUGAAUAAGAUGGCAAUGUGACUUUGAUUCUUUCAAUUGAUGGAAUGCUUCGAGCUGUUUCUCAAGGAGCAAUUGGAAAUGCCUAUUGAAGCAAUGACGAUAAAACGGUGCUUAUAUUUUUUUCAUCUUCAUUCCAUGUUUAGUUAUUCAUUGAUCAAUUAAUGGUUGACCAAGUUUA